rnacentral:rRNA from 1 species
UACGUAGGGUGCAAGCGUUGUCCGGAAUUAUUGGGCGUAAAGAGCUCGUAGGCGGUCUGUCGCGUCGGCUGUGAAAACCUGGGGCUCAACUCCGGGCCUGCAGCCGAUACGGGCAGACUAGAGUGCAGUAGGGGAGACUGGAAUUCCUGGUGUAGCGGUGGAAUGCGCAGAUAUCAGGAGGAACACCGGUGGCGAAGGCGGGUCUCUGGGCCGAUACUGACGCUGAGGAGCGAAAGCAUGGGUAGCGAACAGG